rnacentral:tRNA from 1 species
UAGAUUGAAGCCAGUUGUGUAGGGUGUUUAGCUGUUAACUAAAGUUUUGUGGGAUCAAAGCCCACCAAUCUAG